UUGAAAGUAAAUAAGAGUUUAACAAUGGAGAUUUAAAUCUCCCAAUUCAUCACAAAAUCUGAAAUUCACCAACUUCAACUAGAAAAGAAAAGAGUUUAGCCACUCAUGGUGGACUAAAUACACAGAAAGAUGAAAGGAAAAGAAAAAGGAAGAUGCUGGAGAGUUUCUGGCGAGUUCAAUUCCUCAGCAGAAGAUGCCUUUGCUGGUUUGGAGGUUGCCCUUUUAUAGUUGAAGAGUUCCAUCCUUCUAGGGUUUUGAAUCCCUUUUUAAUUUGGCUUGUGACUCCUCUUUUGAUGUUGAAUUUAAUUGCAACUGGAAUUCCUUAGGUGAGAAACUCUUUCGUGGCUCUUGGAAUUGUUUUGGUAGUGAUUGAGUUGGAUUUGGACUUCUGAAAACUUGAAAUUCGGUUUCCUGAACAAUUUCCCGCUCUGCUGUAUUUUCUGCUGUCGAAGUGAUUUGCCCGGCGAUUUGACCAGUUUCUUCAAGGGAUUGGGCAAAUCACAGACCUGAUCACGUUUCUGCCAGUCAGUUCUCUCUGUCUUCUGCGAGUGAUUUGGCCAGUGUCCUCGAGUGUCCUGGGCAAAUCACUGCCCAUAUCACUUCUGCCUGUUGCCUCAAGGUUUCUGCUUCAGCUUGAUUUGGGCAGAUCACUGGGCAAAUUACUGACCCAAUCACUUUUCUGUCAAUUUUCUGCACUUUUUCUCCAAUUUUCCAAUUCUUUCCUUUUCUGUAAAAACAAGAUAGAAAUCAUAAAUUAGACUAAAAAAUGUGUAAAUAAACAAUCAAAAAAGAUAAUAAAAAUGUGGCUAAUUUAUGCUUGAUCAUGUUCUGAUUUUUACGUAUGGGGAUUGAUUCUUUGUUGGUUUUGCAUCAUAAAUAUAUAUGACAUUUAAAAUGCUUUUAUUUUUCAAUGCUGCUGAAACAAGAUUCAUGAAGGAAACCUUUCGCAUGGUAUCAUGGGAUAGUGGAUCAAUUUUAAAUGAAUGGUUUCUGAUGCACAUCCUAUGUGACUUUACCUAGCUUGAGAGUACCUGAGAGAGAUAAUCAUAUUGGUUUUGUCACCCGAAAGACGAUAUUUAAUUUCCUUGGGGUAUAGAAUGGGGCAUAUACACACUUGCUGGUGAGGGAGAUGCGUGGGAAUUCAGGAUGAGACAAAUAUCCCCAAAAUGCAUAUAAGCAGCAAAUGGUUAUUGGCUUAUUGCAGUUUAUGGUUGCAUGGCUUCAUAUAAUCAUAAGCUCAGAAGAAUCCAAUGUAAGACUGUUCCUUGAUCUGCUGGAAAACAGAUAUAGAUAUGCAGA
rnacentral:lncRNA from 1 species